CCUACGGGAGGCAGCAGGGAGGAAUAGUGGGCAAUGGGCGCGAGCCUGAACCAGCCAAGUAGCGUGAAGGAUGACUGCCCUACGGGUUGUAAACGUCUGUUAUAAAGGAAUAAAGUGAGGCAAGUGUGCCGUUUUGUAUGUACGUUAUGAAUAAGGAUCGGCUAACUCCGUGCCAGCAGCCGCGGUAAUACGGAGGAGCCGAGCGUUAUCCGGAUUGAUUGGGUUUAAAGGGAGCGUAGAUGGGUUGUUAAGGCAGUUGUGAAAGUUUGCGGCUCCACCGUAAAAUUGCAAUUGAUACUGGCAGUCUUGAGUACAGUUGAGGUCGGCGGAAUUCGUGUUGUAGCGGU
rnacentral:rRNA from 1 species